UACGUAGGGUGCAAGCGUUAAUCGGAAUUACUGGGCGUAAAGCGUGCGCAGACGGUUGUGUAAGUCUGUCGUGAAAUCCCCGGGCUCAACCUGGGAAUUGCGAUGGAGACUGCACGGCUAGAGUGUGUCAGAGGGGGGUAGAAUUCCACGUGUAGCAGUGAAAUGCGUAGAUAUGUGGAGGAACACCGAUGGCGAAGGCAGCCCCCUGGGAUAACACUGACGCUCAUGCACGAAAGCGUGGGGAGCAAACAGG
rnacentral:rRNA from 1 species